GCUGGGCUCAUCUUAGAGCUCCGCGGAAGUUUCUUCUCACUUGACCUCCACCAGAAACGUCAGCAGCCACGUUGAGCUGGCGACCCUCGUUGGGGUGAAAUGCAGUCCUCUGUUUAGGGAACAUUGCAGAAAAGAGGACAGGCUUUGGGUUCAAGUGUGGGCUCCGCCUUACAGGAGCAGUAGGAGCUACGGAGCUGACUCAGACUCUCGGAGCCGCUGUCCUCAUUUGUGAGAUGAGGUUAAUGUUGGCUGCUUGAAGGUCAGGAGAAGGACUGAGGCCCAGCACGCCCCUGGCACCUGCUCAGGUGAAGCAGACCCCCUUUCCUUCCCUCUGUGCUGCAAUGGCAAGAUGAUGAAUGAAGUUCUGGCAGCUUCCUGUGUCCCAGGCCUUGUAGAAAUAAAUGAGACCUGCUUCAAAGUUCUAAUGUGCAUCACAUCGGAUCUUGUUUAAGGAAGCAUUAAAAGGAACCCACCGAUACCUAUUGAGAAGGCUCUGUGCUCUCAGAAAUUGUUUCUGAUUGAAUCCAGAGGUUGCAAGCAUGCCUCCCUGUAUUACCUGUUGGAGCAGGUUUAAUUUUAUAAAUUUGAAACACAAACUCUAUGAGUUUCUAGUUCAUAAUUGUUCUUUUUGAGGAUCCACUCAGAUGAACAGUAUUGCAUCUGUGAUAGAUAUGCACUUCCACAGGACCAGAAUUGAUUGGAAUAUAAAUGGCAACAAGCUCCAUCUGUAGCAUCAUCCGGUACCAGUGAUGGAAAGGACAGAUUGCAAGGAAACCCUUCAGGGGGAAAAGUCAUAUUGUGUUGGAACUACAGAUUACUAGAAGUAUCGCUUUAGUAAACCAAGGCUUUUUUUCUUGAACACAAUGUGCAUAGACUGUGUAGUUCUUGACUGGUGGCUUUAAUCCAUUAUUGUUAGUCAUCUCCUUGGACACUCUCAAACGCUGAAAGUCUUAAGCUUUCGUUUAAAAACAAAAAUGCAGCUUUGAGAAAAUCCAGGGUUCGAUAGAGCCUUCCAGGUAUUUCCUUCCAACCUUCAUGUCCUGUUAUUACCAGUAGCAGAUACCCAGGUGGUAGAUGAGAAGCCUAGUGGGAGAGGAAGGAAUUGACGAUGAAUGGGCAUAUUACAUUGUAUCGUAAACAUACUUUAUAAGUACAUUUCUUAUUAUUAGCUUCUUAUUCAGGCAGAGAUUAUAAAAGUUUGUUACAAAUAUCCAGACCAGGAUUUGUGUUUUGGAAAUAAUCAGUGUUCACCAUACCUGCAGGGGAAAGGAAAAAGUACAAAAACUCAAAGAUGAGCACUCUUUACACAUAAAAGAAUAUUUUUAUCAUUCUUUUAUUUGUUUUGGCUCUGUCACAAAUUAAAGUGCUUGGAAUGCUGUAGUCUCUUGAAAUUUAAUCAAUGAGAACCUAACACUUUCACAGUAUGCUGUCACUUUGGACAUUCAUAAUAAAAAUUGAAACUAAUUUUGGUUGUUAGUCAUUUAUUUUGAUUUGUAGCUUAGCACAUCUUUCAUGGUCCAUCUUUGCAAUGGUAUCACCAUGUAUCCAGACAAAGAGAUGCGUACAUGGUUCAGGCCUUUCACAGUCUCUUGCAUUUGGUCACUGUCAUUUUUUAUAUUCAAACAACCACUCUUUGUUAUUUGUUGAAAGGCUGAGAUAUUUUCAAAUGCCAAAGUAUUUUCGAUUAUGCAUUCUACAACAGGGAUUAAAGAUAAUUCCUGAGGAUUAUACCUUAGCUUUCUUGAGUUUCUGAU
rnacentral:lncRNA from 1 species